GACGAACGCUGGCGGCGUGCUUAACACAUGCAAGUCGAACGGAAAGGCCCUGCUUUUGUGGGGUGCUCGAGUGGCGAACGGGUGAGUAACACGUGAGUAACCUGCCCUUGACUUUGGGAUAACUUCAGGAAACUGGGGCGAAUACCGGAUAGGAGCUCCUGCUGCAUGGGGGGGGUUGGAAAGUUUCGGCGGUUGGGGAUGGACUCGCGGCUUAUCAGCUUGUUGGUGGGGUAGUGGCUUACCAAGGCUUUGACGGGUAGCCGGCCUGAGAGGGUGACCGGCCACAUUGGGACUGAGAUACGGCCCAGACUUCUACGGGAGGCAGCAGUGGGGAAUAUUGCACAAUGGGCGGAAGCCUGAUGCAGCAACGCCGCGUGCGGGAUGACGGCCUUCGGGUUGUAAACCGCUUUCGCCUGUGACGAAGCGUGAGUGACGGUAAUGGGUAAAGAAGCACCGGCUAACUACGUG
rnacentral:rRNA from 1 species